rnacentral:ncRNA from 1 species
AUAAAUAAUUUUUUAUGGUUAAAAAAAUUUAUUAAAAAUUUAUUUUACAUAUAAAUUUUAGUGUUUAAUUUUAAUUAUUUUAAUAAUAAUUAAUUUUAUUUUAUAGUAAUUAAUAUUAAAAAUUUAAGAAAUUAAGAUUUAGUAAUAUUAAUAUUAAGAACUAAAUUUGUGCCAGCAGUUGCGGUUAUACAAAUUUUAAAAUAAAUUCAUUUAGUUUUAAUAAAUAAAUAAAAUAUUAAAUUAAAUAUUUAAUUAUUAAGUGAAAUUUUAAUUAAAUUAAAAUUUAUUUAUAAAUUAUGAAUUAAUAAAUUUUAUAAAAAACUAGGAUUAGAUACCCUAUUAUUAAAAAAAUAAUUUUUUUAAACUAAAAUAGUAGAUAAUAAUUUAUUGAAACUUAAAUAAUUUGGCGGUAUUUUAGUUCAUUUAGAGGAAUCUGUUUAAUAAUUGAUAAUCCACGAUUAACUUUACUUAAUUUAUUAUUUUAUAUAUCGUUGUUAUAAAAAUAUUUUUUUAUAAAAAUAAUAUUUAAAAAUUUAAAUAAAAAAUUAAAUCAGAUCAAGAUGUAGAUUAUAAUUAAGCAUAUAAUGGAUUACAAUAAAUUUAUUUAAAUGAAUAUUAAAUUGAAAAAUUUAAUUGAAGGUGGAUUUAAAUGUAAUUUUAAUUAAUUUAUUAAAAUGAUUAAAAAUUAAAAUAUGUACAUAUUGCCCGUCGCUUUCAUUAAUAAAUUGAAAUAAGUCGUAACAAAGUAGAGGUACUGGAAAGUGUUUCUAGAAUGAUU